ACAGAAUUGUCUUGAGCAGAAGAUCCUGGCAACACGGUGAGCACCUAGGGAUUUAGGGAAGCCACUCUAGCACUCUGGCAUUGAUUGUCCUGGCAGGAGACAGAUGACAUCAGUUACUGGAGUUCCCUGCUACAAUGGAGAUACGGCCAAGCAGGCAAAAGCAAGCAGCAGAGAUGAGCCAGGGAGGAGGAGAGAGGCUGCAUUUCAUGAUCUGGUCAAAACCAGCCAUGGCACCCAGACAAAGACAGGUCAGCAAAGCUGGCUGGUGUGAGGUCACCAAGCCCCGUGCAGGUUGCUCCUCACAUACCUCUUGCAUCCACUCCUUCUUCUCCGUCGCAUGCCAC
rnacentral:lncRNA from 1 species